rnacentral:tmRNA from 1 species
AUCCUUUUAUAUUUACCCUUUCGGGGCUAUAUCUGAGAGGUCGGGAAACCGACUAUGGCGAUAAACGGCGUGUGUAAUAACCGAUGCGGACCCGGGGGCGGUACCCGGCGCCUCCACCAAAAUUCCCGGCCGGGCCAAGGCCAAGGCGGGAAAUUCGGGGGCGAAACAGGAUCGACGCGCGGGUAAAGACACGUUUUUUGCUCGGCAUGGUACCACCGUCAUCGGGCCGUCACUAUAGAUGCCAACGACAACACUCGUGUGGCUCUCGCUGCCUAGUUAGCUAGGUAAGCGCGGUCCGGGGGGCACCGGGCAACAGAAGCCCCCCACU